AUUUUGCCCUUAUUAAUUAUGAUUCCAAAAUAAAUUUAUUCAAGAUAACUAAUCAAUGUUGGGGGAAGUUUAAAUUUUCAAGAAGUUUAAAUGAGGGUAUAAUAGGAAUUUUUUUUUUGUCCUUUCUUGAUUUGUCAAAAUGGACAAGUAAAUAGGGACAUCUAAAAGAGGAAAUAUGGACAAGUAAAUAGGGACGGAGGGAGUAU
rnacentral:lncRNA from 1 species